rnacentral:rRNA from 1 species
GAUGAACGCUGGCGGCGUGCCUAAUACAUGCAAGUCGAGCGAACAGAUAAGGAGCUUGCUCCUUUGACGUUAGCGGCGGACGGGUGAGUAACACGUGGGUAACCUACCUAUAAGACUGGAAUAACUCCGGGAAACCGGGGCUAAUGCCGGAUAACAUUUAGAACCGCAUGGUUCUAAAGUGAAAGAUGGUUUUGCUAUCACUUAUAGAUGGACCCGCGCCGUAUUAGCUAGUUGGUAAGGUAACGGCUUGCCAAGGCAACGAUACGUAGCCGACCUGAGAGGGUGAUCGGCCACACUGGAACUGAGACACGGUCCAGACUCCUACGGGAGGCAGCAGUAGGGAAUCUUCCGCAAUGGGCGAAAGCCUGGCGGAGCAACGCCGCGUGAGUGAUGAAGGUCUUCGGAUCGUAAAACUCUGUUAUUAGGGAAGAACAAAUGUGUAAGUAACUGUGCACGUCUUGACGGUACCUAAUCAGAAAGCCACGGCUAACUACGUG